rnacentral:rRNA from 1 species
UACGGGGGGGGCAAGCGUUGUUCGGAAUUACUGGGCGUAAAGGGCUCGUAGGCGGCCAACUAAGUCGGACGUGAAAUCCCCAGGCUCAACCUGGGAACUGCGUCCGAUACUGGAUGGCUUGAAUCCGGGAGAGGGAUGCAGAAUUCCAGGUGUAGCGGUGAAAUGCGUAGAUAUCUGGAGGAAUACCGGUGGCGAAGGCGGCAUCCUGGACCGACACUGACGCUGAGGCGCGAAAGCUAGGGUAGCAAACGGG